GAGCUGAGGGACAGCCCCGCGGUUGUGGGUGUCCCGCGGCGCCGGAAACUGGGCGCACACACCCUCGGAUUGACGUGCGCACGCGCACCGGUUACCUUCAGGAGCGCCGAAGAAGGAAAGAAGACUGCCAGCUCCGUGACAGCAAGAACCUUGUAUGACUUUUUCAUGAUGGAUGUUCAUCUGUGCCAUCUGUAAAUAUUGAAUAAAUAUUUGUGGAAUACAUGAAUCUAAAAGUGAAUGGAAUGAUAAAGAGGGAAAGGGUCAUGACAUCUACUACAGCAUUUGGCACAGACCCAGGUUUCCCUGGUACUGGUAAUUCCCAGCAGCUUUCUACAAUUCCAAAGGUCAGAAAUAAACUGCCAAAAAAUUUUUACUAAAUCAUGUUCUGGUCUGGGAUACAGCCCUGAAAUGCACUUUGAGCAAGAAAGACUUUGUAGAGGAGAAAAAAGGUGGACCAAUGAGGAUUGGGCUAGAACCAGAGGAAAGUGAACAUUCUUGGUUUAGAUAAAUAUCCACAACCUUCUAAGGUUUUCAUGUGUACUACAGAGAAGCUCCAGGCUCCUACAUUUCCCUGUGGGUAGUUUUAAAAAGCUACUGUAGCAAAACAGAGGCUGGUGGUGACUACGCUUAUCUUUUAGAAGAGCCAUCAUUGCAUUUCUGCAGCACAGAAUAUAUACGUGUUUUUUACUCUUAGUGGUGGAGUUUAUAUGUGACUCAUGAUGUUUAGUUGUUAAUCAUCCAAUGAUACUAAAUACUGCUUAGUUAGCUCAGUAUUCCCUUUAGGAAACCAGAUAUUGCUAAAGUCACUGUUCGACUUAAUGGGGAAAAUUCCACUAACAUCUAAAAUAUGUGAUUUAUAAUUCAAAAAUGUAAAUACUGUAUUGGUAUUACAUACUAUAAAAGGACAAUUGUCUACACAAUUACAUAACAUGCAUGUAAGGAUCAAUAUUUAAUUAAGACUAUUUUUGUAUUCUCAUUGGGAGUUAGAGCCCAAUAUUCUCAAUUGGGUGAGAAUUUCAGCCAAAUGGUCUAUCCAUUUUCUUUUCUUUCUUUCUUUUUUUUUUUUGAGACAGAUCUUGCUUUGUUGCCCAGGCUGGAGUGCAAUGGUGUGAUUUUGGCUCACUGCAACCUCCGCCUCCUGGGUUCAAGCGAUUCUCCUGUCUCAGACUCCCGAAUAGCUGGGAUUACAGGUGUGCACCACCAUGCCUGGCUAAUUUUUGUAUUUUUAGUAGAGGUGGGGUUUCACCAUGUUGGUUAGGCUGGUGUCAAACUCCUGACCUCAGGUGAUCUGCCUGCCUCGGCCUCCCAAAGUGGUGGGAUUACAGGCGUGAGCCACUGUGCCUGGCCAGUCUAUCCAUUUUCUAUUUCCCCAAAGUAACUUGUGAGAAAUGUCUUAGGCUAGAAUUUGCUUAUAUAUUUUCCAUCUUGCACAUGGUUAAAACGUGCAGUUUCCUAAACCAGUGGUUCUCGAACAUCAGUGUGCAUUAGAAUCACCUGGAGGGCUGGUUAAAACACAGAUUGCCAGGCCGUUCUCAGGGUUUCUGAUUUAGUAAGUCUGGCGGUUGGACCCGAGAAUCUGCAUUUCUAACCAGUGAUUCCCAAGUGAUGCUGAUGCUGCAGGUCUGGGGACCAAUGUCUUGAACUAACAGCUCUGAAUAAAAAUCUAAUUGGAUUCUGAAUGCCACAGAUGCAGUUUGGAGAUUGUUUUUCAAAGCAGAAUAUCCAUUUGUGGAAUAAAAAAGUUUAUCAUUGUUAUUACCUGAA
rnacentral:lncRNA from 1 species